AUACGGAGGAUCCGAGCGUUAUCCGGAUUUGUUGGGUUUAAAGGGUGCGCAGGCGGCCAUUUAAGUCAGCGGUUAAAUCGUGGGGCUCAACCCCAUUCUGCCGUUGAUACUGGGUGGCUUGAUUGCGGUCGAGGUUGGCGGAAUUCGUUGUGUAGCGGGUAAAUGCAUAGAUAUGACGAAGAACACCGAUUGCGUAGGCAGCUGACCAGACCGCAAAUGACGCUCAUGCACGAAAGUGCGGGGAUCGAACAGGAUUAGAUACCCUGGUAGUCCGCACAGUAAACGAUGAAUACUUGUUUUCGGCGAUAUAAUGUCGGAGGCAAAGCGAAAGCGAUAAGUAUUCCACCUGGGGAGUACGCCGGCAACGGUGAAACUCAAAUGAAUUGGCGGGG
rnacentral:rRNA from 1 species